rnacentral:rRNA from 1 species
CGACACAUUGAACCUUCGGGGGAUUUGUUGGGCGGCGAGCGGCGGACGGGUGAGUAAUGCCUAGGAAAUUGCCCUGAUGUGGGGGAUAACCAUUGGAAACGAUGGCUAAUACCGCAUAAUGCCUACGGGCCAAAGAGGGGGACCUUCGGGCCUCUCGCGUCAGGAUAUGCCUAGGUGGGAUUAGCUAGUUGGUGAGGUAAUGGCUCACCAAGGCGACGAUCCCUAGCUGGUCUGAGAGGAUGAUCAGCCACACUGGAACUGAGACACGGUCCAGACUCCUACGGGAGGCAGCAGUGGGGAAUAUUGCACAAUGGGCGCAAGCCUGAUGCAGCCAUGCCGCGUGUAUGAAGAAGGCCUUCGGGUUGUAAAGUACUUUCAGUCGUGAGGAAGGCAUUUGCGUUAAUAGCGUAGGUGUUUGACGUUAGCGACAGAAGAAGCACCGGCUAACUCCGUGCCAGCAGCCGCGGUAAUACGGAGGGUGCGAGCGUUAAUCGGAAUUACUGGGCGUAAAGCGCAUGCAGGUGGUUCGUUAAGUCAGAUGUGAAAGCCCGGGGCUCAACCUCGGAAUUGCAUUUGAAACUGGCGGACUAGAGUACUGUAGAGGGGGGGUAGAAUUUCAGGUGUAGCGGUGAAAUGCGUAGAGAUCUGAAGGAAUACCGGUGGCGAAGGCGGCCCCCUGGACAGAUACUGACACUCAGAUGCGAAAGCGUGGGGAGCAAACAGGAUUAGAUACCCUGGUAGUCCACGCCGUAAACGAUGUCUACUUGGAGGUUGUGGCCUUGAGCCGUGGCUUUCGGAGCUAACGCGUUAAGUAGACCGCCUGGGGAGUACGGUCGCAAGAUUAAAACUCAAAUGAAUUGACGGGGGCCCGCACAAGCGGUGGAGCAUGUGGUUUAAUUCGAUGCAACGCGAAGAACCUUACCUACUCUUGACAUCUAGAGAAGCCAGCGGAGACGCAGGUGUGCCUUCGGGAACUCUAAGACAGGUGCUGCAUGGCUGUCGUCAGCUCGUGUUGUGAAAUGUUGGGUUAAGUCCCGCAACGAGCGCAACCCUUAUCCUUGUUUGCCAGCGAGUAAUGUCGGGA